rnacentral:rRNA from 1 species
AUGACCUUGAUUUUUAAUAGAGAUAUAGUAGAAUCGGAUAUAGUGCGAGAAGCCAAUGGUAUUGCAAUGAGAUCUCAUAAUAUCAGUCUAUCCCAUGAGGAAAGGGAGAAGGCAUUAUCCAUUAGUAGAUCACUAGUAAAUGUUAGAACUGCCACAUUGAAUAAUAGCAAUAGUGCUGGUGAACGUAUAAAGGAUCAAAUAGUGCAAACACUGACUGAAGCUGGUGGUCAGGUUGAUUAUGUUGAGGCUCACCGUGGUGUUCGGGCUGCUUGCCAUGCCAACCGGAGCGCCCAUACACGUGUUCAAGAACCUCCGGUGUGCGGCGACUGCCAUGCCGCAAUCAAGAUGGUCGCCAAGGCGUACAACAGAGAGAUGAUACGGCCAUGCCAUGAAGGUUGCAGAGCAUAA